rnacentral:rRNA from 1 species
UCUACGGGAGGCAGCAGUGGGGAAUUUUGGACAAUGGGGGAAACCCUGAUCCAGCAAUGCCGCGUGGGUGAAGAAGGCCUUCGGGUUGUAAA